GAUGAACGCUGGCGGCGUGCCUAAUACAUGCAAGUCGAGCGAAUGGAUUAAGAGCUUGCUCUUAUGAAGUUAGCGGCGGACGGGUGAGUAACACGUGAGUAACCUGCCCAUAAGACUGGGAUAACUCCGGGAAACCGGGGCUAAUACCGGAUAAUAUUUUGAACUGCAUGGUUCAAAAUUGAAAGACGGCUCCGCCUGUCCCUUAUGGAUGGAACCGCGGCGCAUUAGCUAGUUGGUGAGGUAACGGCUCACCAAGGCAACGAUGCGUAGCCGACCUGAGAGGGUGAUCGGCCACACUGGGACUGAGACACGGCCCAGACUCCUACGGGAGGCAGCAGUAGGGAAUCUUCCGCAAUGGACGAAAGUCUGACGGAGCAACGCCGCGUGAGUGAUGAAGGCUUUCGGGUCGUAAAACUCUGUUGUUAGGGAAGAACAGGUGCUAGUUGAAUAAGCUGGCACCUUGACGGUACCUAACCAGAAAGCCACGGCUAACUACGUGCCAGCCGCCGCCGUAA
rnacentral:rRNA from 1 species